CCCUAUCCCCUCCCCAACCCUCUAUCCGCCCCUUCUUUCUCCCUCUUACCCCCAUUCCUCUCCCUCAAUAUCCCCCAUCUAUCCUUCCCUGCUCUCCACUAGUGACUCCAUCCCCCCACCUCCUCCCAGGACAGCCUCCCUCCCAUGCCUCCCCAGUAACCCACGAGAAACCUGCGAAAGUGUAUGCGUUAGUGUCUGUGUGUCUCGUGUGCCUGUUGAAAAGGACAUAUCGAAGGACACCCGCCGCGAGGAGAAUGGUGAUCAUGGUGACGAGAAAGACGCGGGAAACACUACAUUGGUGAUGGACAGCCUCGUUCAAAGGGCAAGACAGCGAGCAUGAGACAGACAAACAAAAGGUCAUAGGGAGCGAGGAAAAGAAAGGUGGGGAGGAGCCUUCGCCUCUACCAUCCUACAAGACCUUGAAUUACAUAGUGUGGCUUAUCAUGAACAGGAUCCAACAAGCAAGUCUGCAUGGGCCCUCCCUGUCACCACUUUCUCUUCAAGGACACCAGCAACACAUACUUCCCGUAAUCGGAAGCUACACGAUGCCUCUCAUUAACGUGGGUCCAGAGCCUGCCCGAGUGACGGUGUCACCUUUCCCACCCCACAUUCCCCGUGCCCUAAACACACACUUCAACACUCACACUUCUCAAGUAACACCUCGUAAGUGACGUCGGCUUGUAAGAAUCGACGUUCACUCGUGUGCCCAAUAAGUAUAUAAACAUUGUUUUUGUGGCCGCUGGUCCUGUGUUUGCGUCAGGCGGGUGGUUGUCUUGGCAUGAGUGGCGCAGUGUCGGAACUCUUGUGGCGGCAUGUCCCCGCGUUGCACCAGUGUUUAUUCCUUUUUUGCUGCUGCUACCGCGUCGAGAGAGAGAGAGAGAGAGAGAGAGAAUGUAAUAACUUUGAAUAUAAGUCUGAAUGUUGUUAGCAAUUCACUGUUGCAACGUUUUUAACCUCAGAUUUAAGUGAUACUCUUUCAAAACAUAAGAAGUGACGUGUGGAGAUGUCCACUCUCUUCCUCACCUUUAUGUGACUGAACAAAAAGACACGAUGACAUGUCGGAUGCAUCGCCAUAUCUUUCUAAUACUUUUCUUGUUGAGCAAAUUGAAAGUAUUGAACCAUUGUCUUCCCUUUAAUAUAUAUAGUCUACUCAGUGGUACUGAAGAAAAAUAAACAAUGAGUGUUCAACCUU
rnacentral:misc_RNA from 1 species